CACGAACGCUGGCGGCAGGCUUAACACAUGCAAGUCGAGCGCCCCGCAAGGGGAGCGGCAGACGGGUGAGUAACGCGUGGGAACCUACCCAUCUCUACGGAAUAACGCAUGGAAACGUGUGCUAAUACCGUAUACGUCCUUCGGGAGAAAGAUUUAUCGGAGAUGGAUGAGCCCGCGUUGGAAUAGCUAGUUGGUGGGGUAAAGGCCUACCAAGGCGACGAUCCAUAGCUGGUCUGAGAGGAUGAUCAGCCACACUGGGACUGAGACACGGCCCAGACUCCUACGGGAGGCAGCAGUGGGGAAUAUUGGACAAUGGGCGCAAGCCUGAUCCAGCCAUGCCGCGUGAGUGAUGAAGGCCCUAGGGUUGUAAAGCUCUUUCACCGGUGAAGAUAAUGACGGUAACCGGAGAAGAAGCCCCGGCUAACUUCGUGCCAGCAGCCGCCGUAAAAC
rnacentral:rRNA from 1 species